rnacentral:lncRNA from 1 species
GGAUAUGGUAGAAACUUUCUAUGCUUUUUCAGAAAUUUCAUCCCUUUUGUAACACUUCUAUUAAUCAUCAUUUCAAGACACUGAAUUCCUUGUUGACUUAUACUUUUUGAACUUUUUAGAAGCCAUGACUUCAUGUAAGGCUCCCAUCCCAGAUCAACAGGGUCCUAGUAAUAAAAAGCAAAAGAAAAAUCUUAUGUAAAUAAAAAUGCAGAAUUAUUAUUUUUUACUUCAUCACCUACCCGUGGUUAGAUUUAGUAUUAUUUAAAGCUAAAACAAUACAAUAACAACAACGAGCUAAAGAAAUCACAAUUUUUGAAAUUAUAUUGGAGUUUAACUAUGGUUUGAAAAGAGAACAAUCACUGGGGAUCUGAGUGGGGGGAAGUGUAUUAACCAUAAUGGAAAGGUCGGUAGAGGCGGCCCCAGCUCUCGUUCUAACUGACAUCCCAAAUUAGGUGGACCAGUGAGCCAAUCAUCGCUGCUAAUGAAUUUCAUGUAUAGAAUUUUUAGGGUUAUGUUUUCUACUUCUAUACCAUUGUCUUGGUGUAGAGAAAUUUAAAUCCAGCAACAUAGCUGCUCUGGCAAGGGAUCACAUAUAAAGACCUUCUAGGUCUAUAUGACCUAGGAGGAAUGCAGACACACCCUGGAUUGCAGUAUGAUCUGGCUGGAAUACAGACAUGCCCUUAAUAGAGCAUAUCCUUUAAUCCCAAACAAUGAAGGUAGAGUUAGUUUGUAAAAGGAUGAAGUCAUGUUUGAAAGUGAUAUCUAAUUGAGGGGCAGACAAAGUGAUGCAUCAGAGAAAGAUUUGACAGAAUGAUUCAGAACUAGGAUAUGCCCAACUCUCAUGAGGACAGAUAGGAAAGAGAGGCAACUUAAGAUCAGCUUAAAGUGAGUCAGAGGGCAGUUUAGGGAAUGCAGUUGAGUUUAGGUAAUGCACUGGACUUCAAAUGAAUCAGUAUGGAGAGAAUCUUUUGUGUACUGUAAGGAAACAUCACCUUUUAAUACAAAGCUGAUUUGGCUAAUACACUGAUGCAGGAAAUAAGAGGGGAUAGUUCCAAUAGGGAGAAAGGAAGUCUGGAAUAGGGUCAGGCAUGGGAAAGAUUUGGGUGAGAUUUGUCUGGAACUCUGAAGAGACAGAUGCAUGAAACUAAGGAAAGGUAACCAGCCACGUGGCACUCAUAAAAUAAAAUACACAGUUUAAGUUAAGUAGUCAGAGAGCAAGCCCUAAUUUAUGGCUAGGUAUUUAUUCAUAUAUAAUUAAGUCUCGGAGUCAUUAUUUUGGGAACUAGGGUGUGGGUAGAAAAGCCCAUGGCUACAAAUCAAUCAGUGUAGUUCCUGCUGAGUUGAGUUCAGUUGAGUUUCAUUUGUGAGUUUUGUUCAUAUAGUCCAGGUCAGCAGAGGCAGUUGAAGCCAGAGAAUAAGAAGGAGCCAGAAGAUUAGAACAAAUUGUCAGACUUAGUUUGAGGCCAAGCAGAGCAAUUCAGUGAGAAGCCUAGAGAAGCCGUAUUGAAUCAGCCAGCUUGGAAAGGAGUUUGAGCCAGAACAGCUGAGUUCAACCAACUUGCUAGAGUUCAGAAAGAACUACAAAGGGUGAACAUAUUCAGCAGUAAGUCUCAGAAGUUGAAACAUUCUAGGCCUAGAUUAGAUUCUACAGAGGCUAGAAGCUUCCAGGCCUACAAAGACAGAAACUCUCUGGGCCCAACCCAAGCCAUGCAUUCAUACAGCUUGGGUAUGGCUCUCAUCACAUCCCAUCAUCUGGGGAAAUAAAACAGACUUUCACAUCUUAGAGAGAUUCUUCCCAAAUUCUGAGUCAUACAGUCCUUUGCUGGCAAAAUACUUCAUAUAGAUAGCCUCAUAUGCUUGUCUGAAAUAGUGAUGUCUAGCUUCCCAGUAUAAUAUUAGUGACAGUAUCACUUCUGGAUUAUGAGGUUUUGGGGUCACUCAGCUGGGUUUAGAAGCAAAACUAAAACACAAUUAAUAGGGGUAGUCGCUAUCCUCAACAUUCUUCUGCCUAGGACCAGGUUUGAAAACCUACCAUGUACACCAUAGCACACCGGGUGAUGACAGAGGGGGUGGCGUCAAAGAGAGAGUCUGCCUCAAAAACAAUUCUGAUCUUGUUAGUCAGGCUAAUCCUUUCGCUGUUUGCCAGGCACAGUGUUCUAGUUUCAUCAAGCACAGUGUUUAGAUUUUCUAUCCAUAGGCUGUCAAUUGGGCCAUCUAAAACAAUCCAUUGCCAAUCAAAAUCUAGGAAGGAAAACAUUUUUAAUGUCGUUAAGACUAAGCUCAGACUUAUGAUAAUCUUAAAAACUUUCUAUUUUUGUUAGAAAAUUAUUCUUUUGUGCAUAUAUGUAUGAUACACAUAUGUACAUGUGUAUAUACACAUUUGGAUGUACAUACAUAUGUGAGGGUAUGUGUGUAUGUAGGCAUACAUGUAUGUAGAGGGUUGAAGUUGAUGUCAGGUGCCUUCUGCAAUAAUUCUCCCCCUUAUUCAUGGAGCCAGGGUCUCUCACUUGGUCAUUUCUGGCUGGUCAAGCGAGCCAGUUUGCCCUGCAGGUCUCCUAUCUCUUCCUUCUGAGUCUUGAGAUUAUACAUUCAUAUACAUCUGGCCUCUUAAUUAAGUUCUAGGGAUCUUGAUUCCAGUUCCACGCAUGUGUGGCAAGUACUUUACCUACUGAUCCAUCCCUCGGCCUCUAGAAAGUAUUUUCUAAGAUGAGAACAUUGUUCCAAGAACGAGUGCUUAUGUUACACUGAAGCCUGCACUGGACAUGUUCAACUUUCAUGAGUGGGAUUAUGGACCUUAUAAAAGAGGCUACACACACACACACACACACACACACACACACACACACAAAUAUACUCUUCAAUAUUCAUUCAAUAAAUAUGCUAUAUCUUGAAAUUGCUUUAAGCACUUUCUAGAUAGACAUUCUUAGAUUGAUGAAAUGCAUAAUAAAUCCUUAAAAUCUGGAUAGGAGAAAGACAAAUAGUUGCGUAUUUUUUCAAUAAUAUGGUUUGUGAAUUUGCAUCUUCUACUAAGGAAUAAUUUUUAGGCAUGCUGUUCCUAGAAAAUGUCAAAGGAAAAACUCAAAGAACAAAGUAGACAGUUUAAACUCUAUCAUACUCAGACCCCAUGCACUCCAUCACUGCAGCCUCUGUGCUGCUAUAACACAGUGCCUUUGACCAGGCAGCUUAUUAUGACCAGGCACACAUGUGCUCUUUACAGCUCUGAAGGCUGAAGGCUAGGUGCUGGCAGAUUGUUUGGUUAGAGACAGCUUCUUGGUUCAAAGAGGGAACCUUCCUCUUACUGUGUGGUCACAUGAUGGAAGACUUUCCCUUGAGUCCCUUUUACAAGGAAUCUAAUUCCAUCAGUAGGGGCAGAGUGCAUCUCAUGUAGGACAUUGAUCCUACUCACUAGGGCCCAUCUCUCCUGGCCGUCUGGCUUCCCCAAGACACUGUGCUCUAAAAAUCACUAGCUUGAGGACUAGGAUUUAGUACUCACACUUUGGGGAAGAGGAUGCAAACAUUCCGAACAUAGCACUGCAUGCUAUGCUUUCUAUCAUGCUUAAUAAUUUUAGAAUCCUACCAGCCAGGAGUAGGGAGGUCACUACAAAAGGCUAAGCACCCAGAAGACAUUUCAAGUGUUCCCGAUGAACCAGAGAGCAGAGGUAGGACCCAGAAAGCCUCUGCUGGGAAGAUGGGCUCUGUCUGCUUGAAAUAUCUAUCCUACCCAUUAUCCUACAAUCUCAUAUAACUAGCUAUACUAUAAACUAUAACUAAGGAUACUCUUAAUUAGCUAUACACAACCACUGUACUUUCCUU